rnacentral:rRNA from 1 species
AUGUACAUUCUCACAACAUAGUGUUAAUUCAAUGGAUCCCAUUAGAACUAUGCAGUUAAGCGCACUUGAGAUAGAGUAGUACUGGGAUGGGUGAUCACCCGAGAAGUCCUAGUGUUUUACAUG